rnacentral:rRNA from 1 species
AGUGAACGCUGGCGGUAGGCCUAACACAUGCAAGUCGAACGGCAGCACAGUAAGAGCUUGCUCUUACGGGUGGCGAGUGGCGGACGGGUGAGGAAUACAUCGGAAUCUACUUUUUCGUGGGGGAUAACGUAAGGAAACUUACGCUAAUACCGCAUACGACCUACGGGUGAAAGCAGGGGAUCUUCGGACCUUGCGCGAUUGAAUGAGCCGAUGUCGGAUUAGCUAGUUGGCGGGGUAAAGGCCCACCAAGGCGACGAUCCGUAGCUGGUCUGAGAGGAUGAUCAGCCACACUGGAACUGAGACACGGUCCAGACGCCUACGGGAGGCAGCAGUGGGGAAUAUUGGACAAUGGGCGCAAGCCUGAUCCAGCCAUACCGCGUGGGUGAAGAAGGCCUUCGGGUUGUAAAGCCCUUUUGUUGGGAAAGAAAAGCAGCAGGUUAAUACCCCGCUGUUCUGACGGUACCCAAAGAAUAAGCACCGGCUAACUUCGUG